rnacentral:rRNA from 1 species
GGGGAAUCAUGGUCAAUGGGCGAAAGCCUGAACCUGCGACGCCGCGUGAGUGAUGAAGGUCGUAAGAUCGUAAAACUCUUUUCAGGGACAUUAAAGCUCCGGCUCUAACAUAGCCUGGAGUCUGACUAUCCCUGGAAUAAGCCCCAGCCAACUACGUGCCAGCAGCUGCGGUAAUACGUAGGGGGCGAGCGUUAUUCGGAAUUACUGGGUGUAAAGGGUAUGUAGGCGGCCUGACAAGUCGCGUGUCAAAGUCCAGCGCUCAACGCUGGGUUCGCACGCGAUACUGUCAGGUUUGAGGACUGGAGAGGUGAGCGGAAUUCCCGGUGUAGUGGUAAAAUACGUAGAUAUCGGGAGGAACACCAGCGGCGUAGGCGGCUCACUAGACAGUUUCUGACGCUAAGAUACGAAAGCGUGGGGAGCAAAC